rnacentral:misc_RNA from 1 species
GCACAUCUGCCAGAGGCGCCCUGUGCUCGAUCCAUGAGUAUGAACGGAAACGGGAGGAAACACGCGGAUGUGCCAACAAUAAUAUCAUGGAAAUAAGCUGAGACGCACACGCAACCUUGUUGGCUUUUGGUUGUUGGGACUCUGUAACAAUUAUGCUUAUGUUGUUAUGCUCAGCGCCGCGUUCGACAUCCUCAAUAAAGAAGUCGGCCCUCAUAAUGUCACGGUAGAUCCGCAUCCACCCAACACUACAAGAUGCAAUCCAACAUCCACAGGAGUAAGACUCUUUUAUUGUUACCAACAUGU